rnacentral:rRNA from 1 species
GAUGAACGCUGGCGGCGUGCCUAAUACAUGCAAGUCGAGCGAACGGACGAGAAGCUUGCGUCUCUGAUGUUAGCGGCGGACGGGUGAGUAACCCGUGGAUAACCUCCCUAUCUGACUGGGAUAACUUCGGGACCCCGGAGCUAAUACCGGAUGAUAUUUUGAACCGCAUGGUUCAACAGUGAAAGACGGUCUUGCUGUCACUUCUAGAUGUAUCCGCGCUGCAUUAGCUGGUUGGUAAGGUAACGGCUUUCCACGGCAAGGAUGCAUAGCCGACCCGACAGGGUGAGCGGCAAAAAUGGGACGGAGACACGGUCCAGACUCCUACGGGGGCCAGACGUAGGGAAUCUUGCGCAAUGGGCGAAGGCCUGACGGAGCAACGCCGCGUGAGGUAUGAGGGUCUUCGAAUCGUAAAACUCUGUUAUUAGGGAAGAACAUAUGUGUAACUAACUGUGCACACCUUGACGGUACCUAAUCAGAAAGCCACGGCUAACUACGUG